UGGCGAGUAAAGAUCUGUGGU
rnacentral:siRNA from 1 species